rnacentral:rRNA from 1 species
GAUGAACGCUAGCGGCAGGCCUAACACAUGCAAGUCGAGGGAGGAGCCUUCGGGCUUCGCCCGGCGUGCGGGUGCGUAACGCGUAUACAAUCUGCCUUUCACAUAGGGAUAGCCCGAAGAAAUUUGGAUUAAUACCUAAUGGUAUAUAGAUGUGGCAUCACCUUUAUAUUAAAGCUGAGGCGGUGAAAGAUGAGUAUGCGUUCUAUUAGCUAGUUGGAGAGGUAACGGCUCCCCAAGGCGACGAUAGAUAGGGGUUCUGAGAGGGAUAUCCCCCACACUGGUACUGAGAUACGGACCAGACUCCUACGGGAGGCAGCAGUGAGGAAUAUUGGACAAUGGUCGGAAGACUGAUCCAGCCAUGCCGCGUGCAGGAAGACGGCCUUAUGGGUUGUAAACUGCUUUUGCAGGGGAAGAAUAAGGACUACGCGUAGUUUGAUGACGGUACUCUGCGAAUAAGCAUCGGCUAACUCCGUG